rnacentral:lncRNA from 1 species
GAGCGGGCACUCGGCGGCACGCGGCCUCGCGCCUCCCCUCCCACACCCCCGCACACAAAGACGCCUCUCGGCGGAGGGAGCAGGGACCCGCAGCUGGAGCGGGGGCGCUCGGGGCGCCGGCCCCGGGGUCGCCGCCGCCGCCGCCGCCGCAGGGACGCGCGCCCGCACCCUCCGGCUCCCCUAAGCCGCAUAGCCCGGCCCUCAGCCCGAGCGGACGGUGAGGGACAAGCGAAUGCGGGGAAGAGAGGAGGGGACCCGGGUGCGCCGUGCUGGGUUAGUUACAGCUCGGCCCCGCAGCAUCAUGGGGCUUGUAGUCCGCCUGGUAGAACCGUGCUUUUCGGAUGACCAGAGAUGGUCUGGAACUGAUUUCCUGGAAGGGUGGACAGAGAGUCAAACCCGGCCGAAGCGGAGGCCUUACUUGGAUGCCAAAAAAUUAAACCCCAGCUUCCACACAUCACGUUGGAAAAGAGAAUGUCUAAUGAGGCGAAGAAGACAGUCUUUCCCCUUCAUGGCUCAGCAAGAACCAGGAUGAGGUUGAGCAAAGACAGCAGCAGGUGGCACUUCCCCACCUCCAUCCCAUGUGGGUCCCUGCCUAAGGAAAAUGACUGAGUCCAGAUUGCCUGCUUUCUGAAAGAGCAGAGAGACAAGCGCUUCCACAAGGAGCCCUUGCAGAGAGUGUGGUCAAAGUCAAAUUGGCCUCUGUGGCGGCCACCUGCAAAUGGUAAAAGGACCAAGAUGCCCUGGGAGAGAAAAUGUCAAGAGAGUUGUAUUUAAAUACCGUAACAAUUGCUUGAUCUUAAAUUGCUUAUCCUUCAGAGUUUCUCGGCCCACUCACCUCUAAACUGGGAUCAGAUACUACCUCAUGGGAUGAGCUAAGGGUAUGAACUGCCUGAAAACGGCCCCUCUCUCCUUCAACCAGCCUGAGACAGGUGAUAGGAGCGAACAUGUUGCCUUCCUCGAGCCCACCUCAAGGCAGAAAUAAGGGAUUCCUGGCCAACCCGAUUUAGAACAACAAUCUAGAGAGUGUUUGUGUGGGAAGCGACAGCAAAAGCUUGCAAACUCCUUGCGCCCUUCUUGGGUUUCUUUGUGUGUUCUUCUCUCCUGCUUCCUGCACACCCAGUGGUGCCAGGCCCGGGAGGACUGAGUAGACUGCCUCGCCCCUUUCUGCAGCCUGGGAGGAGCCGGUAGGCGUCUCUGCAGCCCAGAGCCGCAGCCCACCUCCACCGCCAGGGGUCAGCAGAGUGUCGUGAUUGCAGCCCGAGUUGAGGAGGGGGCUAGAGAAAGGAGGGGCAACUAGGAGAGGCCGCGAGAAUGCCUGUACAAUUCCUCAUUAAAUCGUUUUCAGAACCUUGUGUAUGAUUCCAUUUGAGCUGUUCAGUUCCUGGGAUGAUGACAUCUUCGGGGAAGCCAGAAACCCUUCUUCCCCCAUCUUCAAGCUCUAAAGCUUGGCUGUGGUGAGGUUGGGGGUUCUGCAACAAAGUUUGGACUGUGUGAGCCAGGGCCCCUCCCAGGCAGUCCCUGAGCCAAUAGGG